rnacentral:rRNA from 1 species
UGCGCAACUGGGNGCGAAGCCUGAUCCAGCCAUGCCGCGUGUGUGAAGAAGGUCUUCGGAUUGUAAAGCACUUUAAGUUGGGAGGAAGGGCAUUAACCUAAUACGUUGGUGUUUUGACGUUACCGACAGAAUAAGCACCGGCUAACUCUGUGCCAGCAGCCGCGGUAA